CCUACGGGUGGCAGCAGUGGGGAAUAUUGCACAAUGGGCGCAAGCCUGAUGCAGCCAUGCCGCGUGUGUGAAGAAGGCCUUCGGGUUGUAAAGCACUUUCAGCGAGGAGGCGUUACUCGCAGAAGAAGCACCGGCUAACUCCGUGCCAGCAGCCGCGGUAAUACGGAGGGUGCAAGCGUUAAUCAGAAUUACUGGGCGUAAAGCGCACGCAGGCGGUUUGUUAAGUCAGAUGUGAAAUCCCCGAGCUUAACUUGGGAACUGCAUUUGAAACUGGCAAGCUAGAGUCUUGUAGAGGGGGGUAGAAUUCCAGGUGUAGCGGUGAAAUGCGUAGAGAUCUGGAGGAAUACCGGUGGCGAAGGCGGCCCCCUGGACAAGCUGACGCUCAGGUGCGAAAGCGUGGGGAGCAAACAGGAUUAGAUACCCUUGUAGUC
rnacentral:rRNA from 1 species